UACGUAGGGUGCAAGCGUUAAUCGGAAUUACUGGGCGUAAAGCGUGCGCAGGCGGCUAUGCAAGACAGAUGUGAAAUCCCCGGGCUCAACCUGGGAACUGCAUUUGUGACUGCAUGGCUAGAGUGUGUCAGAGGGAGGUGGAAUUCCGCGUGUAGCAGUGAAAUGCGUAGAGAUGCGGAGGAACACCGAUGGCGAAGGCAGCCUCCUGGGAUAACACUGACGCUCAGGCACGAAAGCGUGGGGAGCAAACAGG
rnacentral:rRNA from 1 species